rnacentral:lncRNA from 1 species
ACGGAGGGAGUACCAUAUUUUAUAGAUGUUUUACAAUUUUUUCUUAGAUUAAUACCACAAAUAAUUUUUUUAUUAGCAAAGUACUAAAAUAUCCCUCAUCAAACAAAAUACAAUUUAUUCAAACAAAUAUUCUUUUCCCCAUUUCAAUACCAAAGAUUGAAAAAAAAAAAACUCUCUUCUUCUCCCCAAACCCAAACCCAUUAAACCCUCUCUUCGUCUUCAUCUUCUUACAAAACCCUCAAAAAAAUCUUAAAAUUCAAAACAAUCAAAACCUCACAAAGCAUAUAAAAUAGAGUCACAAGACAACAAAAUGGUAAUUUACAUAGAAGAAAAAUCCAUUAAAGUAUGUAUCCAUGUCUUUUUGAGCUUGAAAGUCGAUUUUUGAAUUUUUUUUAACCCUUCGACAGUUUUCGACACAUAGAAGUUGAUUUUUUUGUCAAUUUUCGACACCAACUUGUCAAACAAUAUUAAAAAAAAAAAGUGAAUUUCGAUGCAUACAUGUCGUAAUUUCUCAAAAUUUCGCCAUGUAUGUGUUGAAAAAUCACUACUGCAAUUUAUAUAUAUAUAUAUAUAUAUAUAUAUAUAUAUAUGUGUGUGUGUGUGUGUGUGUGUGUGUGUGUGUGUGUGUGUGUCGAAAUUCACUCUUUUUUUUUUUAUAUUUUCGACAAGUUGGUGUCGAAAAAUUGACAAAAAUUCGAUCUGUAUGUGUCGAAAAACUAUCGACGAGGUUAAAAAACAAAGAACUUCAAAAUCGACUUCCAAGCUUAAAAAAAGAUAUGAAUUCAUACCUUAAUGGGUUCUCCUUGGUCGUAACUACCAUUUUGGUGUCAUUUGACUCCAUUUUGCGAGUUGUGUGAGCUU